CCUCCUCCGCAAGCGGGAGCACGCCCGGGAUUUCGCAUGCUGCCUUAAAAACGGAUAUCCGAGCCUGCCUAGCUGAGGCGUGCAGGGAGCAGUUGUUGCUGCGAUACCUCUGGUGUAGUACCUCUUCCAGCUGGCUGUUCAUCUGUAUCCUUUGUAAUAUCCUCCAUAAAUAAUGAGUUGAUGAUGUUUGGCAGCAUUCCUGGCCUCUACCUACUAGAUGCAGCAGCACUCUUUCAAUUGUGACCAUCAAAAAUGUCUCCUGACAUCACCAAAAGUCUACUGUGGAAGUUACAACAUCCAGGAUUGCGAAUCAACUAUUUUAAAUGAAAGGAAGACUAGAUGCACCAGAUUGUGAAUGAGUGGCGUAUGAAUGAUCCAGUUUUUGUGCAUCCUCGCCAGCAUUUGAUACUGUCAGCUUUCAAUUUCAGCCACUCCCUAGAAGUCAGGCCCCCCUUCCCCAGGGCUGCUGCAGUUUGCUGGGGGUCCACUGCAGACCCUAUUCACCUGGGUCCCGCCUGCACCUGGAGGUAUCACCAGUGGAGGCUGCAGAACAGCAAAGAUGGCAGCCUGUUCCUUCCUCUGGGAGCUCCUUCCCAGAGGGACACCAACCUGAUGCCGGCUGGAAUGCUUCUGUAUGAGGUGUCUGGAGGCCCCUGUUGGGGGGUCUCACCCAGUCUGGAAUAACAAGACCUGCUUAAAUCAGCAGUCUGGCUGCCUCUUGGCAAAAUAGGUGUGUUGCAUUGGGGGAAAACUCCCUCAUCCGGGCUGCCCUAACUCUUCAGAGCUAGCAGGCAGAAAAGACUAAGAUGGCUGAUCGGUGGAGACCACAGUGCCCCUCCUGCUAGGGGCUCAUCUCAGAGAGAUCAGAGUUCUGUCUAUAACCCCCUGGCUGGAGAUGCUGAAAUGACCACAGGGAGGCCCUGCCUGGUGAGGAGGCAUGGGUCAGGGUCCCACUUAAAGAAGCAGCCUGGCCAUGAUCUGUCACAGCCAUUGCACUGUGCUGUGGGGAACUCCUCCUAGUCCAAACCGCCCUGUCUCGCUGGCACUUGCAGGGGAAAAUGGCUGACUGGAGCUGCAGUGAUGGUGGUCACCCCUCCCCGCCAGGAACUCAGUAGUCUUAGGCAGUUCCCAGCAUACUGUCCUGGCUGGCAGGGAUUCCAAGCCCGUGGGUCUUAGCUUGUGGGGUUCUGUGAGAGUGGAGCCUGCUGAGCGAGGCCGCUUGGCUCUCUGGCUUCAGCCCUUUUCCUAUAGGAGUGGAUAGAUCUCCUGCCUCACUGGAUUUGCUGGAGCUAAAAUAUGCAAAACACCUGCAUCUCAGGGUCUGCCCAAGUGGCUGCUGACCUGAGCAGUUGCUGUGGGUCUGCACAGCUCUGUGCUUUGGACCCAAGGCCCUGGUGAUGUGGGCUUACUAGGGAAUCUCCUAAUCUGUGGGUUGCAAAGAUCUGUGGGAAAAGCGCGGUUUCCUGGGUGGGGUAGCACAAUCACUCACUGCCUCCUUUGGCUGGGGGAAGGAGCUCCCUUUGCCCCGUGCAGCUCCCAGGUGGGCCCUCACUCCACCCUGUUUUUGCUCACUGUCUGAGGGUUGUGCCAACUGCCUAGUCAGUCCCAAUGAGAGAACCUGGGUACCUCAGCUGAAGAUGCAGAAUUCACUCACCCUUUCGUUCUUCUUGUGGGAGCCUCAGACUGGAGCUGUUUUUACUCGGCCAUCAUGGCACCUCCCCCACAACUUACAAAAAUUAAUAGCACUUCUCUGUAUCAGUAAUAAUGAAGCAUAAGGUAUAAUGAAAAGCUAAGUUACUAUUCACAACAACACAUAUAGAAAAGUUUCUAGAAAUUAAUUCAACCAAAAAUACUCAAAGACUU